rnacentral:tRNA from 1 species
CCAUUUAUUGGUGGUCGAUUGUGAUGAAAAUCCUAUCGGGGUUUUGGCAGAGUCGGAUUUGGUUCAGGCACAAAGCUGCGAAACCUUUUUAGAUGGU